rnacentral:rRNA from 1 species
AGAUGGCGACUGGCGCACGGGUGAGUAACACGUAUCCAACCUGCCGAUAACUCGGGGAUAGCCUUUCGAAAGAAAGAUUAAUACCCGAUGGCAUAAUAGAACCGCAUGGUUUGAUUAUUAAAGAAUUUCGGUUAUCGAUGGGGAUGCGUUCCAUUAGGCAGUUGGUGGGGUAACGGCCCACCAAACCUUCGAUGGAUAGGGGUUCUGAGAGGAAGGUCCCCCACAUUGGAACUGAGACACGGUCCAA